UGGCUCAUUAAAUCAGUUAUAG
rnacentral:siRNA from 1 species